rnacentral:misc_RNA from 1 species
UGUGCUGGACAUUAUACUCAUACUAUGAGAAUUGGCUAUUUAAGAGUUGUGGUUAAAGAAGACUACUGUUUUUGAACUUUAGCACCUUUGCAAAAGAUGAGUUGUCCAUGAUAAUUAGAAAACAAUGUCCAAUGAGGUGGAAUUCAAAUUUUUUGAUUCCAUUUAUGAUAUCCAAAAUCUCCUUGUGGAUUGUGUGAUAAUGUUUUUUUAACUCCUUGAAUUUUUCAUUUGCAUGAUCACAGAUAUGUCUUUUUCCUACAAUUUCUUCUAGGAGGACACUACCCCAAUAUUCAUCACUUGCGUUAGUUUGCAAAAUCUUUUUUCUCGUGCUGUGAAUCUUUA